rnacentral:rRNA from 1 species
GACGAACGCUGGCGGCGUGCUUAACACAUGCAAGUCGAACGGAAGGGCCCUGCUUUUGUGGGGUGCUCGAGUGGCGAACGGGUGAGUAACACGUGAGUAACCUGCCCUUGACUUUGGGAUAACUUCAGGAAACUGGGGCUAUUACCGGAUAGGAGCUCCUGCUGCAUGGUGGGGGUUGGAAAGUUUCGGCGGUUGGGGAUGGACUCGCGGCUUAUCAGCUUGUUGGUGGGGUAGUGGCUUACCAAGGCUUUGACGGGUAGCCGGCCUGAGAGGGUGACCGGCCACAUUGGGACUGAGAUACGGCCCAGACUCCUACGGGAGGCAGCAGUGGGGAAUAUUGCACAAUGGGCGGAAGCCUGAUGCAGCAACGCCGCGUGCGGGAUGACGGCCUUCGGGUUGUAAACCGCUUUCGCCUGUGACGAAGCGUGAGUGACGGUAAUGGGUAAAGAAGCACCGGCUAACUACGUG